rnacentral:rRNA from 1 species
UACAGAGGGUGCAAACGUUGCUCGGAAUUAUUGGGCGUAAAGCGCGUGUAGGCGGUUCGUUAAGUCGACUGUGAAAGCCCUUGGCUCAACCAAGGAAGUGCAGUCGAAACUGGCAAACUUGAGUCCCGAAGAGGAUGGCGGAAUGCCCAGUGUAGAGGUGAAAUUCGUAGAUAUUGGGUAGAACACCAGUGGCGAAGGCGGCCAUCUGGGGAGGCGACUGACGCUGGGAGCGAAAGCGUGGGGGAGCAAACAGG